AAAGAAUUCUAGAACUGAAUCAAAAAGAGAGGAGUUUACUGCUGAAGGCAGUGACAUGGAGCUCUGAACUAGGCAGCCUGUCUUGGGACAACUAUAAGGACAGUUAAAAGGUGGUGUCACGCUGAAUAUUUACAGAGACAAGGAUGCUGAUGCUGAGACCUGAUCAUUAUAAAUAACACUGUUGACUAUCCAGCUGUAUCAUGUGCUCUGGGGAAAGUCAGCUACCUUGUAAUAAAAGCUAUGAAGAGAGACCCCUGGGAGUGAACUGAGAAGAUCUUCUGAGGCAUUCAUCCAGCCAAGGGAGUGAUCUUGGAAGGAUCUCCAAGCCCUGUCAACAGAUGCAGAAAUUGAUUUAUUGUUCCUAGUGGAUAUUUGCAAUGACUACAGCUGGGGUUGAAAUGGUAAUUCAAGAUGCAUGAGAUAUCCUGAAUCAGAAGCACCUAGCUAAGCCACUCACAAACCCCUCAUCCACAAAAAAUAUGCAAUAAUAAAUAAGUGCUGUUAUCAGUGGCUCAACAACUACAAUACCAAUACCACUACAGAAAUCUACACUUUAGUGUUACUGAGGUGGGGUUAAUAACAAGCGUUAUUUCUAAGCACUGCAUCAUUACAAUUUUUAAGAGCAUAAGCAGACAAAACAAAUCCAUUUAUUACAACGUAUAGCAAGAGAAAUGGUGUGAUAUACAAGAAUCAUGGAUGCAGAACACAGGUGUUCAUCAAACUCAAAAGAAGAAAAAAAAAUAAAACCUUCGUAGAACCUGUAGAAAAUGCCAAGACUUGAGUUUCAGACAUCUGUACAAGAACAAUGGUGUAUGUCUCAAAAUACUUUCCUCAUUUUUGGAGGAUGACAAUAGAGAAACGGCCUGGAUAUCUGAGAUCUGUCAUUUUAGAGGGCUCCACUGCUGAAUUGGAGAGGAUUGGAACAUUUAAGCUAUAGAAGAGUAAUUAUUUUCAUAUCUCCAUGACAUUCCAAGUUAGAAGCCUUUGGUGAUGAAUAUUUAAUUAGCAGAAUAAAUACAUUCAGAUGGUAAAUCUUCUGGCUUAAGGCCACUCCUGUUUUCUCUACUUUUCUUCACAACUUCAAUGAGUAUUUUAUGAAGAAGCCAUGAGUCUCAACAACACCAAGGUAACAAAAUUACACUUCUGUCUGUCAGCUCCUCUCUCCCACAGUCGGAUGUGCGUGAAUUUGUGCACGGGCUUCAGCGGAGCCUCACCUCAACCUCCAGCCAGUCCCUACUACAUCCACUCCCAGUCAUGCUUCCAGAGGAUUCGAGACACCACACACCAGCAUUUGGCUCCUGGGAACACUUUAGCUUUUGACAUUCCUCACACGCCUACUUUGGUUUGGGAUGCUGAUCUCCCUAGAACAUGGCUGAUAAACCUUAGGUUCUAGAAUGGAUAGAAGAGGAAUUGCUUUAGCUGUAUAUACAAUGUGUGUAUGUCCUCAGAGACUACUUUUGAGAGUAUGAAAUGUGUACUACCUUUGAUAUUUUGAGACUUUUUUAUCAGUGGUUUGAAGGUUAAGUUCAUUAUAGUCUUUUGUGCGUAUGAUAUAGUGUAUGAUGUUAUAAAGGCUCUAUGGUAAAUAUACUCUAUUCUCCUCAACUAGUACCCUCAUGCAUGUCAUAUCUACUCCAUUCAUGAUAUUCUGCCUUCUCAAUAUCCCUGUUGUUUCUCAUGUAGUACCACUGAAUUUAAAGCAUCCUGUACCAGGCUGAAGGAGCCAUUACAAUACCAUUGCAGCAUUGUGCAGGCCAACUCAGUGUGUCACAGGCCCUGCUCUGUGAUCUGUUUGAAAUAUUAAGUGUUCCCUGGCAUUCUCAACAUCCAGUACUAUUUUAUAUGUGGCUUUUCCUGACGGUUUUUCUUGCCCAGUCAUGUUGAUGGUCAGCCCAAUUAUUUCACUUGUUUCUCAAAGGUUGACUUUUACACCAAUCCCUCCACCAUAACCUCACCCAGAGAAAAUCACUGUUUUUCACCCUUACUACAACUGGGGGUCAAAACAGCUCCCUCUGCAUAGUCCUUGGUGUCCUGAUGUGAUGCCAUUCUCUGAAAUGGUCAUUUCCAACAUAAUUGCAGUUCUUUCAGUCUUUUCUUCCUUAUG